GGACUACUCGGGUUUCUAAUCCCGUUCGCUCCCCUGGCUUUCGUGUCUCAGCGUCAGCAGAUCCCCAGCAGACUGUCUUCACCUUUGGCGUUCCAAGUGAUAUCUACGCAUUUCACCGCUCCACCACUUGUUCCAUCUGCCCCUAGAUCGCUCAAGACCGCCAGUAUAUCCAGCCAUUCCCCGGUUGAGCCGGGGGAUUUCACAAGAUACUUAACGGCCCGCCUACACACGCUUUAAGCCCAGUGAUUCCGCCUAACGCUCGGCACCUCUGUCUUACCGCGGCUGCUGGCAC
rnacentral:rRNA from 1 species